CAGCAGCCGCGGUAAUACGGAGGGGGCGAGCGUUAUCCGGAAUUAUUGGGCGUAAAGGGUACGUAGGUGGCCUUUUAAGCGUAGGGUAUAAGGCAAUGGCUCAACCAUUGUUCGCCCUAUGAACUGGAAGGCUUGAGUGCAGGAGAGGAAAGCGGAAUUCCUAGUGUAGCGGUGGAAUGCAUAGAUAUUAGGAGGAACAUCAGCGGCGAAGGCGGCUUUCUGGACUGCAACUGACACUGAGGUACGAAAGCGUGGGGAGCAAACAGGAUUAGAUACCCCCGUAGUCCCUGUCUCUUAUACA
rnacentral:rRNA from 1 species